UUAUCUUUUUUGGUAGGAGAAAAGCUUAAUGUUGGAUUUACAAUUCGGACUAUGCUCAAUCGGCUCCUUGUUGCAGAAGAUAUAACACCUUAGCAUGUGCAGAGGUUCCAACAGGCAGCAGUGGCAUUUCUGGUGAGAGCAGUGGAAUAUGCAUUAGAAAAACUACCCCUGACAGAGGCUCUACUCAAGCAAGCAACAUUUGUUGAUGUCCAGCAGAGGACAGAGUGUGACGUUGAAGAUGCAUUAUACUUUGUAGACAGAUUUGCUGAACUGCUCCAUGCCAGAGACCCCAAGAGCAUGAUCAACUCAGCGAGGAGUUCCUCAAAUAUCAAUUGAUGGACAUCCCCAAGCCUCAAGACCCAGCCACUUUCAACAUUGAGGGUUUUGGGAGGAAUAUGUCAUCAAUGAAGAACAGGAUGGCCACCCACCAAGAGCCAUGUUCUGUCCAAGGUUUCUGCCUGUUAAAAGGACGUUUUCCUUGUCACUGUCACAACCAAAUGCAUGCUCUGGGGGGAAU